GGAAUCUUCGGCAAUGGGGGCAACCCUGACCGAGCAACGCCGCGUGAGUGAAGAAGGUUUUCGGAUCGUAAAGCUCUGUUGUAAGAGAAGAACGUGUGUGAGAGUGGAAAGUUCACACAGUGACGGUAACUUACCUGAAAGGGACGAGACUAACUACGUACCAG
rnacentral:rRNA from 1 species